rnacentral:tRNA from 1 species
AAGGGAGACCUAAUUCAGGUAUAAGACGAAAAAAAAGUAGUCGCUACCAAGAAUCAAUCCCAAAAGGUCGGAGCGAGGCGAAAUUGGCUUUCAAACUAGGUUCUGGGUUCAAACAAGACCUGAAUCAGGAACAAGGGCUAUUAGCUCAGGUGGUUAGAGCGCACCCCUGAUAAGGGUGAGGUCCCUGGUUCGAGUCCAGGAUGGCCCACCUGUACAGGUGGCAAAAACAAGAGAAGCGAGGAAUCAGCACCUUAUCUUACUGACAUAGUAAGAGAGAAUGCUGGCUCUGAGUAAAGAGUCCAGAGGAACCUUGAAAACUGCAUAGAGCUAGGUGAAAAAGCCAAAAAAGAAGACCACA